rnacentral:rRNA from 1 species
UGGGGGAAUUUUGGACAAUGGGCGAAAGCCUGAUCCAGCAAUGCCGCGUGUGUGAAGAAGGCCUUCGGGUUGUAAAGCACUUUUGUCCGGAAAGAAAUCCUUGGCUCUAAUACAGUCGGGGGAUGACGGUACCGGAAGAAUAAGCACCGGCUAACUACGUGCCAGCAGCCGCGGUAAUACGUAGGGUGCAAGCGUUAAUCGGAAUUACUGGGCGUAAAGCGUGCGCAGGCGGUUUGCUAAGACCGAUGUGAAAUCCCCGGGCUCAACCUGGGAACUGCAUUGGUGACUGGCAGGCUAGAGUAUGGCAGAGGGGGGUAGAAUUCCACGUGUAGCAGUGAAAUGCGUAGAGAUGUGGAGGAAUACCGAUGGCGAAGGCAGCCCCCUGGGCCAAUACUGACGCUCAUGCACGAAAAGCGUGGGGGAGCAAAACAGGAUUAGAUACCCUGGGUAGUCCACGCCCUAAAACGAUGUCAACUAGUUGUUGGGGAUUCAUUUCCUUAGUAACGUAGCUAACGCGUGAAGUUGACCGCCUGGGGAGUACGGUCGCAAGAUUAAAACUCAAAUGAAUUGACGGGGUCAUA